CGCGGUGUGGGGGAGGGGAGGGCAGCGGCGGAGGGCGACCACCUCCCUCAGACGGGAGAGGAGGAGGAGGAAGAAGAAGAAGAAGAAGAGGAAGGCUUCCCUGAGGCGAAAGGGGCGGGGACCCGUCUCGAGGCUUUCUGCCCGGCUUUCUUGUGAGGACGGGGAUCCGAAAACAAAUACAGAUGCAUCCUGGCUAGCCAGAUGAAAAGGUCAGCUCUGGAGAGAAAAAAAAAACAAAAACAAAGACAAAAUACAGCUUGGAAAUAAAUGGAGCUUUCAGCAGAAGGCCAAACUAUUAGACCUGUUCAGUUCCCUGUAUCAAAUGCUGCAUUUCUGGAGGGGAAGCGGGGGGGGGGGACCCUGGACAUCGUAGUUGAAGGAGAGGGUGUCAGAAGUGCAAGGAUUUUUGGGGAAGAUCAUUUGUCUGUCACAUUCAUAGAAGAGAUUCACGCUUUCUACCUGAUCUAAGAGAGCUGACCUUGAAUUAUUUCUGGUGCAAUUUGCUGGGAUCUACAUUCUAUAAAAACUGCCCAGAAUAUCAUCGGGCUCCAGCUACCAGCCCUGGACAACUUAUUCGAAUCUCGCUGUUGGAGGAAGUUGCACAACAUUCUCAGAGACUCUUCCCAUCCUGCUUACAAUCUUUUUGGAUUGUUGCCUUCUGGCAGAAGAUACAGAAAAAUUAAAACUCGGACCACACGUUUUCUGAAUAGUUUUUAUCCCAGAGCUAUAAUUGCACUCAACAAUGAACUAAAGGGCCACCAUCAGUGAGCUGUUGGACAGCAUUACUUGGUCUGUUGUGUGGAUGUUUGGGUGGUUUAGGGGUGGGGAAUUUGUGGUGGGUGGGUGGGGUGUUUGGGGAUUGAUAUGUGUGUUGGACCUGCUCUUUGGGUGUUAAGUGAAUUUCGUUGUAUGGGUAUACUGUGUAGACACGUACAAUGACAAUAAAGUAGUAGUAGUUGUUAUUAUUCAAUUCUUUUUGUAAGAUGAUUGUUUUAGGAUAGCUGUGUGAAUGCCAGGAAGCAAAUCAGGACUACCUCUCCCUAUGUAACCUGUGAAUCUUCUGAAACUCAGCACUGCGGGUUUUACACACCUGAACGAAAUUAUAGGCAAUUAAUUCAGACAAUAACCAGGCCUACAGCAUAAUACAUAUUUACCUGGGAACUCAACUUUCAAGUAGACGUGCUAAUUAAGACAUUCGCUUUUCCAUUCUAAC